rnacentral:tRNA from 1 species
GCAGUCUUCGUAUAGUGGUUAUUACGGCUCGUUGUGGAUUUGGCCAAAGCGGCUGAUGGGCUUGGGCCGAGCAAACGGAUGUUCGAUUCCUCCAGACUGCU